GGUUAAGCGACCAAGCGUACACGGUGGAUGCCCUGGCAGUCAGAGGCGAUGAAGGACGUGCUAAUCUGCGAAAAGCGCCGGUGAGGUGAUAUGAACCGCUAUCAGCCGGCGAUGUCCGAAUGGGGAAACCCAGUGUGACUCGUCACACUAUCGUUAAGUGAAUACAUAGCUUAACGAAGCGAACCGGGGGGAACUGAAACAUCUAAGUACCCCGAGGAAAAGAAAUCAACCG
rnacentral:ncRNA from 1 species